rnacentral:rRNA from 1 species
CGGGGUGGAGUAAUGCUUGGGAAUCUAGCUUAUGGAGGGGGGUAACUACGGGAAACUGUAGCUAAUACCGCGUAAUAUCGAGAGAUUAAAGUGUGGGACCUUCGGGCCACAUGCCAUAGGAUGAGCCCAAGUGGGAUUAGGUAGUUGGUGAGGUAAAGGCUCACCAAGCCGACGAUCUCUAGCUGGUCUGAGAGGAUGACCAGCCACACUGGGACUGAGACACGGCCCAG